rnacentral:rRNA from 1 species
AUUGAACGCUGGCGGCAUGCUUUACACAUGCAAGUCGAACGGCAGCGGGGGCUUCGGCCUGCCGGCGAGUGGCGAACGGGUGAGUAAUGCAUCGGAACGUGCCCAUGUCGUGGGGGAUAACGUAGCGAAAGCUACGCUAAUACCGCAUACGUCCUGAGGGAGAAAGCGGGGGGAUCUUUGGACCUCGCGCGAUUGGAGCGGCCGAUGUCGGAUUAGCUAGUAGGUGAGGUAAAGGCUCACCUAGGCGACGAUCCGUAGCGGGUCUGAGAGGAUGAUCCGCCACACUGGGACUGAGACACGGCCCAGACUCCUACGGGAGGCAGCAGUGGGGAAUUUUGGACAAUGGGGGCAACCCUGAUCCAGCCAUGCCGCGUGAGUGAAGAAGGCCUCGG